UACGGAGGGUGCAAGCGUUAUCCGGAUUCACUGGGCUUAAAGGGUGCGUAGGUGGGCAAGUAAGUCAGUGGUGAAAUCUCCGGGCUUAACCCGGAAACUGCCAUUGAUACUAUUUGUCUUGAAUACUGUGGAGGUCAGCGGAAUAUGUCAUGUAGCGGUGAAAUGCUUAGAUAUGACAUAGAACACCAAUUGCGAAGGCAGCGGGCUAGACAAAUAUUGACGCUGAGGCGCGAAAGCGUGGGGAGCAAACAGG
rnacentral:rRNA from 1 species